GACGAACGCUGGCGGCGUGCUUAACACAUGCAAGUCGAACGGAGCGGCGAACGGGCGAGUAACACAUGGGUGAGCUGCCCUGCACUUCGGGAGAAGAACGGGUAACUGGGGUGAAUAACGGAGAGUGUGGGAUGGGCCGGGGGCCUAUCGGCUUGUUGGGCGGGUAAUGGCCUACCAAGGCGGCGACGGGUAGCCGGCCUGGGAGGGUGGACAGCCACAUUGUGACUGCGGCACGGCCCAGACUCCUACGUGGGGCAGCGGUGGCGAAUAUUGCGCAGUGAGCGGAAGCCUGAUGCGGCGGCGCCACGUGUGGAAUGACGGCCUUCGGGUUAUGAACUCCUUUCGCCUUCGACGCGGUAGAUGGAGAAGAAGCACCGGCUAACUACGUGCCAGCAGCCGCGGUAAUUC
rnacentral:rRNA from 1 species